GUUAGUUCCGAACUCCUACAGCCAUCUAGCUAAGGAUUAGCGUACUAGCUAACGCGCGAUCGAACACUAUGGGUCAGAAUUGCCAGCUUCAAAUCCGGAAGAAACAUUGCGUUUCCCCGCUUUCCUGUGUUUUAUUCGUAGAACAUAUUUAAUCAUAGUGUGUUUUUCUUUAACAUUAUGUAAUUCCUGCGCAGAUGGUUAGUUAUUUUUUAAGUAAAACAGAAGGAACCAUAAACGAUCGUUUUGUCUGUGGAGUCAUGUAGUGUUUGCACGAGCCUAAUUCGGACUUGGCAACCCCGUCGGCCUAUCUGUCACUCAAGAUGUCGGAAAGGAAGGGAGAUCUUCUUUUUGUUCGAUUCGAGCCGGGAUCGGCUAUACCCUUUGAGAUCGGGCUCCAUCGCCCAUUUGACCCCGGCAUAACAUGCUAACCUUAAAUUUGUUGCUGCGUUGAAGAGCGAUACAUCGCGUGCCCCGGGUGUUGACAUAAGCUGCAUAAUUUCCAUGCAAGCCUUUUAUCCACCAACGGGUAAGUUUUGCAUUUUUUUUAACCUUUAGGUAAGGUUUCGUGUAAAUCGAAAUUCGUGUCGGGCAUUGUUGAAUCGUGUUAGUGUUCCAAACUUGAAAUCAAGGCGAUCUCCGCCCUACAGUAUUAAUUGGGAUUCAAUCCCAGCCGUAAUCAGGUGACUUGCCCUAACGAGUAUACAAUAAUUUCAGGGUUCACGGCGGGGCGCUAACUACCUGGCUAACUCGCGCGGUCUCCGACCACCUGCCUCAUGCAC